UACGGAGGGGGCUAGCGUUGUUCGGAAUUACUGGGCGUAAAGCGCACGUAGGCGGAUCGUUAAGUCGGGGGUGAAAUCCCGGGGCUCAACCCCGGAACUGCCUUCGAUACUGGCGAUCUUGAGUCCGGAAGAGGUGAGUGGAGCUCCUAGUGUAGAGGUGGAAUUCGUAGAUAUUAGGAAGAACACCAGUGGCGAAGGCGGCUUCCUGGACAGUUACUGACGCUGAGACGCGAAAGCGUGGGGAGCAAACAGG
rnacentral:rRNA from 1 species